rnacentral:lncRNA from 1 species
ACAAAACAAUGAUAAAAAUAUGUGGAAAGAGAGCAAAACAAUAAUCUAAUCAAUCACCAAUAAGUGUAACCAGUAUCAGAGGUCGCCCUAAUUUUCUCUCUAUCUCUGCAGCCGCCUAACACUUCGGUCUUCCAGAUCGACGCUUCUCCGGUCACUGGCGCUCCUCGCCGGUACCGGAGAGGCUCCUCCUCGUCUUAGUUCUAUCUAUUAUCUGUUUUGUUGGUCAAGGGAGGUUGAGGAUCUGGGUUCAUGUCUGGUUCGAUGUUGGUUUGGCGUGGCUGUGACUGAUUCGAAUCUUUGAUCUGGUUCGCGGUGGUGGUUUGAGCCGGUUCAGAUAUGGGGUUUAGAUGUUCUUUCGGAUCUGGUUUGUAGCUUGUCAAUCGAUGCUCAUGGAGCCCAAUGGAUUCAGUUCGUCUCUCUCCUCCCUCUUUAUCUAGUUAAUAGUCAAGUUGUGUUUGUUUGUGGGUUGGUGUUGUCUUGUCUUCUUCGGAGUUUAGCUGUGUGUGAAGCUGUAUCAACGGGUCAUUAUAUGGCGGGGCUAUGUAUUCCGGGUAUGGCUUUGUCGAUGCUGUGCUUUCCGCUAGUCGUAGCUUCGGAACUGGGGGGCUUCUGCUUCUUCUCGUUCUCUCGAUCUUUCGGUGGUUUGUGUUUGUCAAAGUCUCUUUUGAGGGGUUCGUCUUUUGGAUGGUAAGUUGCUGUGGAGGUAUCUACUUGCCCUCUCCUUGCCGUCAUGGUGUGGAGUGAGGUUUCAAGACGAAGCAGUGGUUUCGAUCUCUGGCUCUUCUCUUGCGAGGAGGUGACCAUUCUCUUGCUUGUAGAUGGUUGAGUUUGGGUACACGAGUGUCCGCGUGUUUGAGCCGUUGGUCCUUUUUGACGUUAUCCCUUCUUGGAGUUUCAAGUCUCGAUCUUGUGCUUUGCUCUCGCGAGGAUCUGGUUUGUCGUUGUAGAUGAGUGGUUAGUAGUUAUUGGCUUUAUGGUGGCUUUGGUCUUUCGUUCGUUUAUGCCGUGACUGUAAUCGUGAGUUUGUGGUUUCGACCUGUGGUGGUUUAUGGUCCUCUCAAGUUCUGGGUUCUGGGUUCAGCACGUGCUUUUCCAUUGUCUUCAGAAUGAUCGUUUGUCAGUCCUCGCUAUGGAGUUUGAUUCUGGCUCCUUAAGUUCCUAAGUGUUUCAACUACACCCUCUCUUAGUUUGCUUUAGUUAAUUUGGUCUUUUGUUUAAUCUCGUGUUUCUUGUUGUCUCCGGGAUGUUCGAUAUGUGAACUCGCCGGCUUAGUCUCCGAAAGGAUUGCGAUCCUUGUCGGCUUUGCGUUGUACGAUCGGUUUCGAAGGUUAUAAUAAAUUCAUAGAUGACCAAAAAAAAAAAGUAUUAUUAAUAUAUAGAAAACGGCAGAUGGCUAAUUUUGACUAUAAGAACAUUAUUUUUCGGACAAAUAAAAUGAUAUUUUAUUAACAAGGUCCCAUAAUUUUGUUUCACAUUGAUUUAACAAUCACCUACAACCAUUUUAUAGAUUUCUCAGGGAAUCAAAGUUGACUACAUGUCGAUCGAUUCCGUUUCGAGGAAAAACAUACACAAGCAAAGCUGUAAAGGUGUUUAAAUAGCAUAAAAUAUAUAUCUCCGUAUGAGAUAUGCGGAAAAUUAUAAAUAUGUAAAUUGAUGAUAACAAGUGAUAUAUUUCUGUUUCAAGCGACAACAGUCAGCAUACGUUAUUUAGAAAACUUGCGUCUUUGAGUAAAAAACAUUGACGAAAUUACACAUAUUUAGAAAACCUACAUCAUUCAUAUGUUUCUUUAUGUUACUUAUCUGUCUUUAGUUUGAUAUUUUCAAAAGUUUCCCUAAUUUCAGAAUAUUUUGUUCUUUAUACAUAUCGAAUACAGUGAAUAUAAAAAGAUUAAGUCGACCAUUUUCAAAUCCAAUAAUGGAUUAUUAAUCUUGACAUGCUAUAGAAAAUAAAACCGUGGUCAUGCAUGAUCUAAUUAAUAAAUGACGUCUCAUACAUGAUACAAGUAUUAUUUUCUCUAAAACUGGUGUCUCUAAAACUGGAGUAUCUAUUCCGGAUCAGACAACCAAUACAGGAGAUUAAACGGAUGGAGUCUCAGGUACGAAAAGGAUUUAGAUAACAUAUCUGAUGACCGAAUCCAAAUCGGCUCUAAGAUAGACCAGCUGAAAGGGCAGUACGUAGAACAGUAUGUGGUGGUCUCUUCUUUCCAAUGAUUGAUUGCAGAGAAGAACAUUAGGGAUUGUGUUAAGACCCCAAUCGAUGAUAAACGCUUUGGCGGGGCAAACGGAUCAAAGAGUCAAGCUAAGAAGCUGUGUCUGUGUCCUCCGGCUCAACAUUUUUUUAAUUACCUUUUAGCAGUCCGUCUAAUAACUAUUUGUCAUCAUGUGUCUUAUUCAUCAAUUCAUUAUUCUCUUAGAGGAGGCUAGCUGCUCCAAUAUAUAUUUUUUAAUUAACGUGUUGCUUGCAUGCUAAAUUGCAACUUCGCAAAUGAGCUGGACUAGAUUACUCCUGAAGAGAUCUGAGAUGCUUAUAAUAAGACUAUUGAAUAAUUUUCAGUAUUGUCAUGUAUAAUUAUUACAUUUCCUGUUUUAAACAAAUAAUGAUGUUUUAACAUCACCUUAAUGUAUAAUUAUUGUGUGUUCCUUAUAUGAUUAUUAUAUGAAUGAAUUUUAUGUUUUUCUUUUAUUAAUGAUAAUUUCAGAAAUGGAUCGAAAUACUAAUGGAGCAAAAUCCAAGAAACGGAUUCGUGAAAUAUGUAUACCAGAUAGUGGAACAACACACACUAUUCUGAAACAAAAGAGAUAUUUCUCUAAUAUAAAACCGACAAGAAUUGUCGUCAAUACAAUAUCAGGUCCUGCAGACGUGAUUGAAGGAACCGGUAAAGCAAACUUUACGUUACCGAAUGGAACAAAAUUUUCCAUAAAUAAUGCUCUAUAUUCUCCAAGUUCUAAAAGGAAUUUGUUGAGUUUUAAAGACAUAUAUCUUCACGGAUAUGAUACUCAGUCUGCAACUGAGGAUGGAAAGAAAUACAUGUAUGUAACUUCUGAGAAAUGUGGCAGAAAACACAUAUUGGAAAAGUUUCCAGAACUUCCUUCGGGACUACAUCAUACUUAUAUCGAUGAGAUCGAAUCAAAUCUUGUAGUAAAACGGAACCCAGAAGAGUUCACAUUAUGGCAUGAUCGUCUCGGCCACCCAGGCACUACAAUGAUGCGUAAAAUCAUAGAAAGUUCGCAUGGUCAUUCACUGAAAGUCCAGGAGAUUUCUCAAGGGAAUAAAAUGACAUGUGUUGCAUGUUCUCUAGGAAAAUUGAUCGUAAGGCCAUCGCCAACCAAAAUCGAUAAAGAAUCACCAAAGUUCCUUGAAAGAAUUCAAGGCGAUAUAUGUGGACCUAUACACCCACCUUGUGGACCAUUCCACUAUUUUAUGGUAUUAAUUGACGCAUCCAGUAGAUGGUCACACGUUUGUCUAUUAUCAUCUCGAAAUGUGGCAUUUGCGAGAUUUCUAACUCAGAUAAUCAAACUGCGAGCACAGUUUCCUGAUUAUACUAUUAAAAGAGUUAGACUAGACAACGCUGGUGAAUUCACAUCCCAAGCAUUCAAUGACUAUUGUAUGGUAAUGGGAAUUGAAGUUGAACAUUCGGUUGCUCAUGUUCAUACGCAAAAUGGUUUGGCUGAAUCUUUAAUUAAGCGUCUGCAAUUGAUUGCAAGACCAUUGAUCAUGAGAUCAAAACUUCCAACCUCUGUAUGGGGACAUGCCAUUUUGCAUGCAGAAGCACUCAUUCGGAUCAGACCGAGUGCAUACCAUAAGUAUUCCCCACUACAGUUAGCGUUUGGUCGAGAACCAAACAUUUCCCACUUUAGAAUCUUUGGUUGUGCGGUAUAUGUGCCUGUAGCACCACCACAACGUACAAAGAUGGGACCACAAAGAAGAUUGGGAAUAUAUGUUGGUUGUGAUUCCCCAUCAAUUAUACGAUAUCUAGAACCACAGACUGGUGACGUCUUUACGGCACGUUUUGCUGAUUGUCAUUUUGACGAAAAUGUAUUCCCAGUUCUAGGGGGAGAAAACAAAAAUGUUGGAAGUGAUAUAAAAUGGAGUGUACCAUCAUUGUUAUAUCUUGAUCCUCCUACUAAAGAGUCAGAACUAGAAGUUCGACGAAUUAUGCAUUUACAGAGUAUAGCUAACCAGCUACCUGAUGCAUUUGUAGAUACCAAGACGGUAACUAAAUCUCAUAUACCAGCUGCAAAUGCUCCUGCUCGUAUCAAAAUGCCAAAUGAACAAGAAAAGGAGGAUGACACACGAGAGCCAAAAACACGCCUGAAGCGUGGUAGACCUGUUGGUUCUAAGGAUAAGAAUCCUAGGAAACAGAAGAAAGCUGAAAUAUAUGAUGCACCCAAAAUAGCAGAAAAUAUUUUGGAAGAAAUAAAUGAUAAGGAUUCUGAUGAAUCAGAGCAUCAUGAAUCAGAGCAUCAUGAAUCGAAAGAUAAUCAUGAGAUUUCUAUUAAUUACAUCCAUAAUAAAAGGAUAUGGAAUAGAAAUGAACAAAAUGACCUUGAUGAUGCUUUCUCAUAUAUUGUGUCAAGUGAAAUAAAUGAAGAAAUCGAUGAUCCAGAACCAAAAUCUGUCUAUGAAUGUCAAAAGAGACAUGAUUGGGAACAAUGGAAAAAUGCAAUACAAGCUGAACUUGAUUCGCUUAAUAAACGAAAAGUAUUUGGAUCUAUUGUGCUCACACCUGCAGAUGUGAGACCAGUUGGGUACAAAUGGGUUUUCGUUCGAAAGCGAAAUGAGAAAAAUGAGAUUACGAGAUACAAAGCUCGUCUAGUGGCUCAAGGUUUUUCUCAAAGACCUGGAAUCGAUUAUGAAGAAACGUAUUCUCCAGUUAUGGAUGCCAUUACAUUUAGAUUCCUGAUGAGUCUAGCAGCUGAUAAAAAUCUAGAGAUGCGUCUCAUGGAUGUUGUUACAGCUUAUCUAUAUGGAUCAUUAGAUACUGAUAUCUACAUGAAAGUUCCUGAUGGAUUUAAAAUGCCAGAAGCAUUAAGUUCCAAACCUAAAGAGUUAUGUGCAAUAAAAUUGCAAAGAUCAUUAUAUGGGUUAAAGCAAUCUGGACGUAUGUGGUAUAAUCGUCUCAGUGAUCAUUUAACAAAAGAAGGAUAUGUGAAUGAUCCUAUAUGCCCAUGUGUUUUCAUCAAGAAAACAAUAUCCGGAUUUGUAAUAAUCGCGGUAUAUGUUGAUGAUCUUAACAUUAUCGGAACUCAAAAGGAAAUACAAAAGGCAUCAGACUAUCUCAAAGGAGAAUUUGAGAUGAAAGAUCUUGGACAGACACAGUAUUGUCUUGGCCUACAAAUAGAACAUUCACAAAAUGGUAUAUUUGUGCAUCAAUCCACAUACACUAAAAGAGUGUUGAAACGAUUUAACAUGGAUAAAUCAACUCCUCUUAGCACCCCGAUGGUCGUUAGGUCACUUAAUAUUGAAAGUGAUCCAUUUCGACCACCUGAGGAGAAAGAAGAGAUACUUGGUUUGGAAGUACCAUAUUUAAGUGCAAUUGGAGCGCUGAUGUACCUUGCAAAUUGUACACGGCCUGAUAUAUCAUUUGCUGUAAAUCUUCAGCUCAUCUCCAACUCGAAGACAUUGGAAUGGGAUUAAACAUAUUUUUCGUUACCUCCAAGGGACCAUUGAUUUGGGUUUGUUCUACCCUAAAGAUUCAAAGGAUCAAAUGAUUGGUUUUGCAGAUGCAGGAUAUCUUUCAGAUCCACACAAAGCUCGAUCGCAAACAGGAUACUUUUUCACGAUCGGAGGCACUGCUAUAUCUUGGCGUUCUCAGAAACAAACGCUCGUGGCUACUUCUUCAAAUCAUGCUGAAAUCAUCGCACUCCAUGAAGCAAGUAGAGAAUGUGUUUGGCUAAGAUCAAUAAGCCGACACAUCUGUUCAAGCAGUGGGAUUGACGGAAAUACAGAGCCAACUAUCGUACACGAAGAUAAUGCGGCAUGUGUUGCUCAAACAAAUGACGGAUAUAUCAAAAGCGAUAGAACGAAGCAUAUUCAUCCGAAGUUCUUCUCAUACACUCAAGAGCUCGUGAAAAAGAAAGAGAUUGAAGUAAGAUAUGUCCGAUCAUGCGACAAUGCAGCCGACUUUUUCACAAAAUCACUUCCGACUUCGGUAUUCAGAAAACUUGUCCAUAACAUUGGAAUGCGUCAUCAGAAAGAUCUAUGACUCCACAUUCGAGGGGGAGCUUACGUAAUUGUACUCUUUUUACCUUACUAUGGUUUUUCCCAUUGGGUUUUCUUGAAAAGGUUUUUAACGAGGCAACAAAGACGUUAAGCAAGAAGUAAUAGUGACACUGGUCCCCAAGGGGGAGUGCUGUGAAAGCGCCGUAGUAUAAACAGGAAGGGAGGCGCAUAAGUUUUUGAUUUUAUUAUCAUUGUGGGUCCCACUGUCACUAUUUACACAGUAACUUCUACCUUUUUUUACUUCUAUAUAAACGAUCGAUUUCGAUCAUUUGUAACUCGUCCCUCACACUUCUCUUCUCCCUUUAUAAUAAACUCUCUCUAUCAUAUAUUUAUCAUAUAUCAGUGUUUUCUCCUUUCUGCGGAUAUACAAAUUUUGCUUUUAUUUAAAUUUUGCGAUACUAUAAAAUUAUAAGUUAUUUCAUAACAUUUCCCGAAUUUUCUACAAUUCUCGAAAUUUUCUCACACACCAGUACACCACGUUCAAAAGUAAGAUCACGAUUAGAAACCGUUUUGGUUUCUAUAUAACUUUCAGUCUCUCUUUCUUUCACUAUCUAUUUCAUAUGCCUUUAUCUUUUUCAUCUCUCUUUCUCAGUUUCCACUGCUUCAUUUUUCUCUUUUUGUUGAGAUCUUCUACUGACGCCAAAAAAGUUACAUACAAGUUUAUGAUUACUCUUAAUUAAGAUUCAGUUUCCUCUUUUCUCAAUUAACAAUCUCUUAAUUGUUUAUUUCAGGUUGAAAAGGACAUCUGAGUGUCCUGUUUCAAAGCUCUGUCAGCAACUAAGGUAAUAAUACUUAUCUCCAACUCUGUUAUCUACAAAAUUGAAAUUUUACGAAUCUUUGUUAUUAAUUUAUAUUUAUCAUUAGUAAACUACUUGCCUUGCUUCUGCUACAGAUGUGGCUGUAAAGGACAUGGGUCCUGUACAUGUCGUACUCCUCCACAUCUCUGUAAGUUAUAUCAAGAGUCCACGAAAGGUAAAGCUAAAGAAGUGAACCUCACUGAAAACUUUGAAGGGACAUCGUACCUCGAUGCCUCCAAUAUAUAUAUCCCUUAUAUAUUAAAGCACAAGUCACUCUACCAACAAAAAUUUGACACAUGGAAUUAGUUUUUCAAAAAAAAAUCUUUCCCGAAUUUUCUACAAUUCUCAAAAUUUUCUCACACACCAGUACACCACGUUCAAAAGUAAUAUCACGAUUAGAAACCGUUUUGGUUUCUAUAUAACUUUCAGUCUCUCUUUCUUUUACUAUCUAUUUCAUCUGCCUUUAUCUUUUUCAUCUCUCUUUCUCAGUUUUCACUGCUUCAUUUUUCUCUUUCUGUUGAGAUCUUCUACUGAUGCUAAAAAGUUACAUACAAGUUUAUGAUUACUCUUAAUUAAGAUUCAGUUUCCUUUUUCUCAAUUAACAAUCUCUUAAUUGUUUAUUUCAGGUUGAAAAGGACAUCUGAGUGUCCUGUUUCAAAGCUCUGUCCUGUUUUGAAAUUCAAAAUAUAUAUAUCCCUUAUAUAUUAAAGCACAAGUCACUCUACCAACAAAAAUUUGACACAUGGAAUUAGUUUUUCAAAAAAAAAUCUUUCCCGAAUUUUCUACAAUUCUCAAAAUUUUCUCACACACCAGUACACCACGUUCAAAAGUAAUAUCACGAUUAGAAACCGUUUUGGUUUCUAUAUAACUUUCAGUCUCUCUUUCUUUUACUAUCUAUUUCAUCUGCCUUUAUCUUUUUCAUCUCUCUUUCUCAGUUUUCACUGCUUCAUUUUUCUCUUUCUGUUGAGAUCUUCUACUGAUGCUAAAAAGUUACAUACAAGUUUAUGAUUACUCUUAAUUAAGAUUCAGUUUCCUUUUUCUCAAUUAACAAUCUCUUAAUUGUUUAUUUCAGGUUGAAAAGGACAUCUGAGUGUCCUGUUUCAAAGCUCUGUCCUGUUUUGAAAUUCAAAAUAUAUAUAUCCCUUAUAUAUUAAAGCACAAGUCACUCUACCAACAAAAAUUUGACACAUGGAAUUAGUUUUUCAAAAAAAAAUCUUUCCCGAAUUUUCUACAAUUCUCAAAAUUUUCUCACACACCAGUACACCACGUUCAAAAGUAAUAUCACGAUUAGAAACCGUUUUGGUUUCUAUAUAACUUUCAGUCUCUCUUUCUUUUACUAUCUAUUUCAUCUGCCUUUAUCUUUUUCAUCUCUCUUUCUCAGUUUUCACUGCUUCAUUUUUCUCUUUCUGUUGAGAUCUUCUACUGAUGCUAAAAAGUUACAUACAAGUUUAUGAUUACUCUUAAUUAAGAUUCAGUUUCCUUUUUCUCAAUUAACAAUCUCUUAAUUGUUUAUUUCAGGUUGAAAAGGACAUCUGAGUGUCCUGUUUCAAAGCUCUGUCCUGUUUUGAAAUUCAAAAUAUAUAUAUCCCUUAUAUAUUAAAGCACAAGUCACUCUACCAACAAAAAUUUGACACAUGGAAUUAGUUUUUCAAAAAAAAAUCUUUCCCGAAUUUUCUACAAUUCUCAAAAUUUUCUCACACACCAGUACACCACGUUCAAAAGUAAUAUCACGAUUAGAAACCGUUUUGGUUUCUAUAUAACUUUCAGUCUCUCUUUCUUUUACUAUCUAUUUCAUCUGCCUUUAUCUUUUUCAUCUCUCUUUCUCAGUUUUCACUGCUUCAUUUUUCUCUUUCUGUUGAGAUCUUCUACUGAUGCUAAAAAGUUACAUACAAGUUUAUGAUUACUCUUAAUUAAGAUUCAGUUUCCUUUUUCUCAAUUAACAAUCUCUUAAUUGUUUAUUUCAGGUUGAAAAGGACAUCUGAGUGUCCUGUUUCAAAGCUCUGUCCUGUUUUGAAAUUCAAAAUAUAUAUAUCCCUUAUAUAUUAAAGCACAAGUCACUCUACCAACAAAAAUUUGACACAUGGAAUUAGUUUUUCAAAAAAAAAUCUUUCCCGAAUUUUCUACAAUUCUCAAAAUUUUCUCACACACCAGUACACCACGUUCAAAAGUAAUAUCACGAUUAGAAACCGUUUUGGUUUCUAUAUAACUUUCAGUCUCUCUUUCUUUUACUAUCUAUUUCAUCUGCCUUUAUCUUUUUCAUCUCUCUUUCUCAGUUUUCACUGCUUCAUUUUUCUCUUUCUGUUGAGAUCUUCUACUGAUGCUAAAAAGUUACAUACAAGUUUAUGAUUACUCUUAAUUAAGAUUCAGUUUCCUUUUUCUCAAUUAACAAUCUCUUAAUUGUUUAUUUCAGGUUGAAAAGGACAUCUGAGUGUCCUGUUUCAAAGCUCUGUCCUGUUUUGAAAUUCAAAAUAUAUAUAUCCCUUAUAUAUUAAAGCACAAGUCACUCUACCAACAAAAAUUUGACACAUGGAAUUAGUUUUUCAAAAAAAAAUCUUUCCCGAAUUUUCUACAAUUCUCAAAAUUUUCUCACACACCAGUACACCACGUUCAAAAGUAAUAUCACGAUUAGAAACCGUUUUGGUUUCUAUAUAACUUUCAGUCUCUCUUUCUUUUACUAUCUAUUUCAUCUGCCUUUAUCUUUUUCAUCUCUCUUUCUCAGUUUUCACUGCUUCAUUUUUCUCUUUCUGUUGAGAUCUUCUACUGAUGCUAAAAAGUUACAUACAAGUUUAUGAUUACUCUUAAUUAAGAUUCAGUUUCCUUUUUCUCAAUUAACAAUCUCUUAAUUGUUUAUUUCAGGUUGAAAAGGACAUCUGAGUGUCCUGUUUCAAAGCUCUGUCCUGUUUUGAAAUUCAAAAUAUAUAUAUCCCUUAUAUAUUAAAGCACAAGUCACUCUACCAACAAAAAUUUGACACAUGGAAUUAGUUUUUCAAAAAAAAAUCUUUCCCGAAUUUUCUACAAUUCUCAAAAUUUUCUCACACACCAGUACACCACGUUCAAAAGUAAUAUCACGAUUAGAAACCGUUUUGGUUUCUAUAUAACUUUCAGUCUCUCUUUCUUUUACUAUCUAUUUCAUCUGCCUUUAUCUUUUUCAUCUCUCUUUCUCAGUUUUCACUGCUUCAUUUUUCUCUUUCUGUUGAGAUCUUCUACUGAUGCUAAAAAGUUACAUACAAGUUUAUGAUUACUCUUAAUUAAGAUUCAGUUUCCUUUUUCUCAAUUAACAAUCUCUUAAUUGUUUAUUUCAGGUUGAAAAGGACAUCUGAGUGUCCUGUUUCAAAGCUCUGUCCUGUUUUGAAAUUCAAAAUAUAUAUAUCCCUUAUAUAUUAAAGCACAAGUCACUCUACCAACAAAAAUUUGACACAUGGAAUUAGUUUUUCAAAAAAAAAUCUUUCCCGAAUUUUCUACAAUUCUCAAAAUUUUCUCACACACCAGUACACCACGUUCAAAAGUAAUAUCACGAUUAGAAACCGUUUUGGUUUCUAUAUAACUUUCAGUCUCUCUUUCUUUUACUAUCUAUUUCAUCUGCCUUUAUCUUUUUCAUCUCUCUUUCUCAGUUUUCACUGCUUCAUUUUUCUCUUUCUGUUGAGAUCUUCUACUGAUGCUAAAAAGUUACAUACAAGUUUAUGAUUACUCUUAAUUAAGAUUCAGUUUCCUUUUUCUCAAUUAACAAUCUCUUAAUUGUUUAUUUCAGGUUGAAAAGGACAUCUGAGUGUCCUGUUUCAAAGCUCUGUCCUGUUUUGAAAUUCAAAAUAUAUAUAUCCCUUAUAUACUAAAGCACAAGUCACUCUACCAACAAAAAUUUGACACAUGGAAUUAGUUUUUCAAAAAAAAAUCUUUCCCGAAUUUUCUACAAUUCUCAAAAUUUUCUCACACACCAGUACACCACGUUCAAAAGUAAUAUCACGAUUAGAAACCGUUUUGGUUUCUAUAUAACUUUCAGUCUCUCUUUCUUUUACUAUCUAUUUCAUCUGCCUUUAUCUUUUUCAUCUCUCUUUCUCAGUUUUCACUGCUUCAUUUUUCUCUUUCUGUUGAGAUCUUCUACUGAUGCUAAAAAGUUACAUACAAGUUUAUGAUUACUCUUAAUUAAGAUUCAGUUUCCUUUUUCUCAAUUAACAAUCUCUUAAUUGUUUAUUUCAGGUUGAAAAGGACAUCUGAGUGUCCUGUUUCAAAGCUCUGUCAGCAACUAAGGUAAUAAUACUUAUCUCCAACUCUGUUAUCUACAAAAUUGAAAUUUUACGAAUCUUUGUUAUUAAUUUAUAUUUAUCAUUAGUAAACUACUUGCCUUGCUUCUGCAGUAUCCAACAAAACCAGAAACAGAGAGCAAAAAAAGACAAAAGAUAAAUUAGAAUUUCCACAAAAACGAAAAAUUUAUCAGGUUAAGAGACAAUCAAGCAAAAGAAAAGACUAAACUACAAACAAGAAGAAGAGUAGUUCUCUGCAGCAAACAUAAAGGAGCAAAAUUGUACACAAUCUAAAAACAAGUUGUAUCCUUAUUUUUUUAGGAUUCUCGCUCUCUCUCAUGUUACGCUUUAAUAUUUGUUUAUGUAGUCUUGAAAAAAUCAUAUCCCAUGGUUAACAAAACAAUGAUAAAAAUAUGUGGAAAGAGAGCAAAACAAUAAUCUAAUCAAUCACCAAUAAGUGUAACCAGUAUCAGAGGUCGCCCUAAUUUUCUCUCUAUCUCUGCAGCCGCCUAACACUUCGGUCUUCCAGAUCGACGCUUCUCCGGUCACUGGCGCUCCUCGCCGGUACCGGAGAGGCUCCUCCUCGUCUUAGUUCUAUCUAUUAUCUGUUUUGUUGGUCAAGGGAGGUUGAGGAUCUGGGUUCAUGUCUGGUUCGAUGUUGGUUUGGCGUGGCUGUGACUGAUUCGAAUCUUUGAUCUGGUUCGCGGUGGUGGUUUGAGCCGGUUCAGAUAUGGGGUUUAGAUGUUCUUUCGGAUCUGGUUUGUAGCUUGUCAAUCGAUGCUCAGGGAGCCCAAUGGAUUCAGUUCGUCUCUCUCCUCCCUCUUUAUCUAGUUAAUAGUCAAGUUGUGUUUGUUUGUGGGUUGGUGUUGUCUUGUCUUCUUCGGAGUUUAGCUGUGUGUGAAGCUGUAUCAACGGGUCAUUAUAUGGCGGGGCUAUGUAUUCCGGGUAUGGCUUUGUCGAUGCUGUGCUUUCCGCUAGUCGUAGCUUCGGAACUGGGGGGCUUCUGCUUCUUCUCGUUCUCUCGAUCUUUCGGUGGUUUGUGUUUGUCAAAGUCUCUUUUGAGGGGUUCGUCUUUUGGAUGGUAAGUUGCUGUGGAGGUAUCUACUUGCCCUCUCCUUGCCGUCAUGGUGUGGAGUGAGGUUUCAAGACGAAGCAGUGGUUUCGAUCUCUGGCUCUUCUCUUGCGAGGAGGUGACCAUUCUCUUGCUUGUAGAUGGUUGAGUUUGGGUACACGAGUGUCCGCGUGUUUGAGCCGUUGGUCCUUUUUGACGUUAUCCCUACUUGGAGUUUCAAGACUCGAUCUUGUGCUUUGCUCUCGCGAGGAUCUGGUUUGUCGUUGUAGACGAGUGGUUAGUAGUUAUUGGCUUUAUGGUGGCUUUGGUCUUUCGUUCGUUUAUGCCGUGGCUGUAAUCGUGAGUUUGUGGUUUCGGCCUGUGGUGGUUUAUGGUCCUCUCAAGUUCUGGGUUCUGGGUUCAGCACGUGCUUUUCCAUUGUCUUCAGAAUGAACGUUUGUCUGUCCUCGCUAUGGAGUUUGAUUCUGGCUCCUUAAGUUCCUAAGUGUUUCAACUACACCCCCUCUUAGCUUGCUUUAGUUAAUUUGGUUUAUGUUUAAUCAUGUGUUUCUUGUUGUCUCCGGGAUGUUCGAUCUGUGAACUCGCCGGCCUUAGUCUCCGAAAGGAUUGCGAUCCUUGUCGGCUUUGCGUUGUACGAUCGGUUUCGAAGGUUAUAAUAAAUUCAUAGAUGACAAA